rnacentral:rRNA from 1 species
UACGUAGGGCGCAAGCGUUGUCCGGAAUUAUUGGGCGUAAAGAGCUCGUAGGCGGCUUGUCACGUCGGAUGUGAAAGCCCGGGGCUUAACUCCGGGUCUGCAUUCGAUACGGGCAGACUAGAGUUCGGCAGGGGAGACUGGAAUUCCUGGUGUAGCGGUGGAAUGCGCAGAUAUCAGGAGGAACACCGAUGGCGAAGGCAGAUCUCUGGGCCGUAACUGACGCUGAGGAGCGAAAGCAUGGGGAGCGAACAGG